AAACUACUCCCUCCGUCUCGAAAUACUUGUUCUAUAAAUGGAUGUAUCUAGAUUUAUUUUAGUUAUAGAUACAUUCAUUUUAUCCAUUUUCAAGACAAGUAUUUUCGGACGGAGGGAGUAGCAC
rnacentral:pre_miRNA from 1 species